AGUGAACGCUGGCGGUAGGCCUAACACAUGCAAGUCGAACGGCAGCACAGUAAGAGCUUGCUCUUACGGGUGGCGAGUGGCGGACGGGUGAGGAAUACAUCGGAAUCUACUUUUUCGUGGGGGAUAACGUAGGGAAACUUACGCUAAUACCGCAUACGACCUACGGGUGAAAGCAGGGGAUCUUCGGACCUUGCGCGAUUGAAUAAGCCGAUGUCGGAUUAGCUAGUUGGCGGGGUAAAGGCCCACCAAGGCGACGAUCCGUAGCUGGUCUGAGAGGAUGAUCAGCCACACUGGAACUGAGACACGGUCCAGACUCCUACGGGAGGCAGCAGUGGGGAAUAUUGGACAAUGGGCGCAAGCCUGAUCCAGCCAUACCGCGUGGGUGAAGAAGGCCCUCGGGUUGUAAAGCCCUUUUGUUGGGAAAGAAAAGCAGCAGGUUAAUACCCCGCUGUUCUGACGGUACCCAAAGAAUAAGCACCGGCUAACUUCGUG
rnacentral:rRNA from 1 species